rnacentral:misc_RNA from 1 species
UAGCAGUGUGUUUUAAACAAUAUAAUACAAUAAAAUAAAAGAUAGCAGUGUCUGCAUUGUUCUUUACAAAGUCAAACAUUUAUUGUAUGAAGUGAAAAAUGCUAGAAGAUGUGUCUUGUCUGUGAAUCACUGAACUUGUAUUUAGUUGUACAAGCAGUGUGUUUGAGAACUGCUUCACAUGUGUGUUGCAUGGACUCAACCAAGUUGUGUCACCUGUGUACAGGUAUUGUAGUCCAGGAUGAUCGGAGUGGCCACUCCAUUAUGUUAGUGUUGUUGGAUGUUGAAGAUGCUGCGUGCUUACUUGUGUGUUUGGGGUGGUUGUCUUGUUGAAAGACACAUUUGAAGGGUGUCUCCUCUUUGGCAUAAGUCAACACAAUGUCUUGAAGUAUUGUGCUUGUGCUACCAUGCUUCACCGUGUUCUGUGGUUUGAACAGUGGUGAUGU